rnacentral:rRNA from 1 species
GAUGAACGCUAGCGGCAUGCUUAACACAUGCAAGUCGGACGGGAGGUGGUGUGUUGCGUGCAGGCCCGGAGAGUAACGCGCGAGCAGCUGCGUUAGGCAUGGGCACCAUGCCCUGCAACGGCUGCUAAUACCCCGUAAGUCGAGGUGCAAAAGGAGGUAUCCGAUUGAGGAGAGGCUCGCGUCUGGUUAGAUAGUUGGUGAGGCAAUAGCUUACCAAGGCUAAGAUCAGUAGCUGGUCCGAGAGGACGGAGAGCCAGUCUGGGACUGAGACACGGCCCAGACUCCUGCAUAUUGCAGCAGUGGCGAAUGUGCCACAAUGCGCGAUAGCCUGACGGAUCAAUGCCGCAUGGGUUGAAAACGCCUUCGGUGCGGGAAUAUCGUUUCCCAGAGAUGAAUCAAUGACGGUAUCGGAUGAAUAAGCAUCGGCUAACUCUGUG